CUGCUCCUGCUCGUCCGCUCCGGUCCUCAUGGCCUGGCUGGGGAGCCUCUCCCUUCCCCAGGCUCCGUGCCGCGCAACGACGGCUCUCUUCCCUUGGCUUGUUUUCCGCUGCCGUGUUCCUGCUUGCAGUGCCACUUUCUAUUAAUUUCCAUGGGGCUGGCAGAAUUCAAACAGAUAUCUACACGUUGCCUAUAUUGAUUUAUUCCUUCUCACAGUGGGUGCAAGUCUUCAUUGCUUCAGUAGUUUUCCUGGCUGUCUGUGUCUUGGUUUAGUUUUGUGCUGCACUGUUGUUCCCUGUAGUUUUAGUAUUUUUCUUUUCCGUGCAGUUCCUCGUGCUGAAGGAAGCAUCGCCCGCGGCUCUGUCACCGCUGGACCGCUCACCCAGGCUGAGCUGGGCAGAAAUCAGGCGUUUUGGUACAGGGAAACCUCAGAAUUCUGCAUUAAACUUAUAUGCUGGGGAAAAAGGCAGUGGAAGAAGCUGACCCUGUAAAUCCCCCCUGCCCGCACCGUGCCAGAGGGGCAACGGGCUCCUGACUGCCUGGGAAAGUGGCCUCGCGAAGUGGGGUAGGAAGGACCUUGAAUCGUACCAGGAAAGGCAAUCAUAAUACUAAAGCUUUUCGACAUUGAUUCCUCUUAACUUCUACAAGCAACAAAAAAUGUUUUCACAGUUAGCAGGGAUUCUGCUAUUGUACCCAAUCUGAGUGCUUAUGUCUAAUGUGUCACCUGUAGCAUCCCCAAAUGGGCAAUUUGUCUCCGACUAGGAAAUGAUUCUCUGGCACACAAAGCACCCCUAUCAGAUGUGGCUCACGUUUACUUUCUGGAGUUGACUCUGUGAUGACAAAUCCCUUUAAUUUCGACUUGCUUAUAUUUGUCAAACAAGUGGGAAUCCAAAAUAUUGCAAGAAUUAUUUUCAAGCAAAGCAUUUGUUUUGACAGUAUUGAAAAAACAGAAAAAAGGAGAGAUAUUACCCUGUGACAAUAUCUCUUUUUAUACCUGAGAGGCAUUGAUCCACAGCAGAGGCAUUUACAGCUCUUCACAUGCAGCACGCGCCUCAAAAAUUGUUUACAAGAACAAGAAACUUCUGCCAAGCUGACCUGCAAAAUUCUGAGGGUUUUUUCUAUAACAAUUAUUCCAUAUUCAUGCACCCCUGAAAGGAUGGGGUGGGUGGAAGAUGGAUUUGAACCACCUCUGCUUUCCUACUUUCUAGGUCCCCGUGGAUACCAGAUUAUUACGUACCAGCGGUACAGCCCAGGGAAUGACUGUAGCGCUCAAGAAGGAGUAAGAUCUCAACAAACGAUGCAGCCCACGAGCACGAAGGGCUCCCAGGAGAGGGAGAAGAAGGUGUUCCGAGGAUGUUCGCACAGCCAAAGCAUCUCCUUGUCUCCCUUCGCCUUGGGGUUACCCAAAGGACCUCCUGGGCACCUGGAUGAAUUCAAGAAAGAGAUCUUGCAACGGCAAAUUCAAUCGUGAAGCGACCGCUGUCAGUUGGACUUAAGUAAUCAAGUGGAGCAGCUUGGUUUGUUAUAUCUACGGACCAGAGCACUUCCACUGGAAGAUAUCUGAAUAGAUACCCACAAGUUAAGGAACGUUGAAAAUAACCAAAGUGCUCCAUUUUUUCCUGUACUUGUGACUGACAAGGAGAAGUAAUGUAAUCUCAGAAGCUAUAAAACAUUACUUGAUGGUUCAAGAAGUUGCUCCCAAUACAUCCCAUAGAAGACAG